UAUUUAUUUACCAGGUUCUGUCCUGGACAGACAGACAUGUUAUUUACCAGGUUCUGUCCUGGACAGACAGACAUGUUAUUUACCAGGUUCUGUCCUGGACAGACAGACAUGUUAUUUACCAGGUUCUGUCCUGGACAGACAGACAUGUUAUUUACCAGGUUCUGUCCUGGACAGACAGACAUGUUAUUUACCAGGUUCUGUCCUGGACAGACAGACAUGUUAUUUACCAGGUUCUGUCCUGGACAGACAGACAUGUUAUUUACCAGGUUCUGUCCUGGACAGACAGACAUGUUAUUUACCAGGUUCUGUCCUGGACAGACAGACAUGUUAUUUACCAGGUUCUGUCCUGGACAGACAGACAUGUUAUUUACCAGGUUCUGUCCUGGACAGACAGACAUGUUAUUUACCAGGUUCUGUCCUGGACAGACAGACAUGUUAUUUACCAGGUUCUGUCCUGGACAGACAGACAUGUUAUUUACCAGGUUCUGUCCUGGACAGACAUGUUAUUUACCAGGUUCUGUCCUGGACAGACAUGUUAUUUACCAGGUUCUGUCCUGGACAGACAUGUUAUUUACCAGGUUCUGUCCUGGACAGACAUGUUAUUUACCAGGUUCUGUCCUGGACAGACAUGUUAUUUACCAGGUUCUGUCCUGGACAGACAUGUUAUUUACCAGGUUCUGUCCUGGACAGACAGACAGACAUGUUAUUUACCAGGUUCUGUCCUGGACAGACAGACAGACAUGUUAUUUACCAGGUUCUGUCCUGGACAGACAGACAGACAUGUUAUUUACCAGGUUCUGUCCUGGACAGACAGACAGACAUGUUAUUUACCAGGUUCUGUCCUGGACAGACAGACAUGUUAUUUACCAGGUUCUGUCCUGGACAGACAGACAUGUUAUUUA